rnacentral:rRNA from 2 species
UUGCUUGGCGACCAUAGCGCUUUGGACCCACCUGAUUCCAUGCCGAACUCAGAAGUGAAACAGAGCAGCGCCGAUGGUAGUGUGGGGUCUCCCCAUGUGAGAGUAGGACAUCGCCAGGCUU